AGGCUGUAGGAAGUAAAACAUGCUUCUGAAAAGACAUUUGUUGUUGAAUAUACUAACAAAUUAUCGAGUAGCUGACUCAAAGACUAGCAUCUCAGACAUCCAACUGUUUAUGAGAUUGAAUUUACACUCUUUAGAAUGCUAAAUUGUUAGAUUUAUUUAAUGGGGUAGAUUGAAUGCUUCCCUAUUGUUGCUUCAUUAGCAUAUGGGUUUGAGAAGAAGAAUAACGAGACGAUUUUGGUUUUCGAUCUUGGAGUUGGUACUUUUGAUGUUUCGGUUCUUGAGGUUGGAGACGGAGUUUUCGAGGUGUUAUCUACAUCAGGUGACACUCAUUUAAGAGGUGAUGACUUCGAUUAGAGAAUGGUAGAUGGCUAGCAGAAACUUUGAAGAAGAAUGAGGGUAUUGAUCUUCGGAAUGACAGAGAAGCUCUUCAACGUCUAACUAAAACAUGGACUCGCGAACGGGUGUCGGACAUAAAGACAUGUCCAAGUGUCCGAUCCAGCAAGUUCCAAAAUUUUAAGACACGGGAAAUAUGUCCGAUAUUUUAACACGGGUAUGGGGGCACGUCUAUACGUCACUUAAUUGAUGCCAAAUGUUCCUACAUAAAUCUGGUUGUACAUAAUUGAUGUCAAGUGGUGGUGUCAAGAUGUUUGUGAUUGGUGGCAAGAAGGGAUAUAAUGGUGAAGUUCUAAGUGCACUGUUGUCCAUUCACACUAAAUAUCGGUGAUUUUGAUCAUUUUUGUUGGUGGUAUUUAAUACUCCCAUUUCAGAAACCUUGAUUAAUUUUUUCUACUAUUCCACUUUUUUUUGUUGAUAAUUUACUCUAUCUAAACACAUGUAACCUACUAAAUAUUGUAAUUAUUUAUUCAAUAUUUUUGGAUUUGUCAAUUAGCCUUAUUCCUAAUAUUUUUUAUAUUAGUUCACGUUUUACCGAUCAAUGAGUACACAAUUUAUAUAUCAAAUUUAUU